GACACGCUGGCGGCGUGCCUAACACAUGCAAGUCGAACGGUCCGGCACUCAACCGACCCUCAGUCUAGCUGUAGGUGAAGUUGAGUGCCGGAUAGUGGCGGACGGGUGAGUAACGCGUGGGCAACCAACCCUGUACAGUGGGAUAACACCGGGAAACCGGUGCUAAUACCGCAUGACACCUAGAUGGUGCAUACUGUUUAGGUUAAAGGAUUUAACCGGUACAGGACGGGCCCGCGUCCCAUUAGCUGGUUGGUGAGGUAACGGCUCACCAAGGCGACGAUGGGUAGCCGACCUGAGAGGGUGACCGGCCACACUGGGACUGAGACACGGCCCAGACUCCUACGGGAGGCAGCAGUGGGGAAUAUUGCGCAAUGGACGGAAGUCUGACGCAGCGACGCCGCGUGAGCGACGAAGGCCUUCGGGUCGUAAAGCUCUGUUCUUGGGGACGAAGGAAAUGACGGUACCCAAGGAGAAAGCCCCGGCUAACUACGUG
rnacentral:rRNA from 1 species